rfam:Cavia porcellus supercont2_18 genomic scaffold, whole genome shotgun sequence.
CUAUGGCCAUACCACCCUGAAUGUGCCCGAUUUCAUCUGAUCUCGGAAGCUAAGCAGGGUCAGGCGUGGUUAGUACUUGGAUGGGAGAGAGUAGAAAGACAUUCAUUGCUCCUAGU